CAGGAAUGAAAAGAAUUUUCAUGUUUACGGAUAAGUGGGUGUAAUUGCUGAAGGAUAAUUUCUCACAAGCUGUGAAGAAUCCUGUCUACACAUUAUGAAAGAUUCUUUGUUGCCAAGAAUUUCAGUGUUGCGAAUUUGGAAAUGCAAAAGAUAAAGGUGUGCCUUGACCUUUACGGCUAGGCAUGAAUCCAAAGAAGAAAUGCUGAGGAAAAAAUAAAGUUAUGGGAACACUUAAUCAUGACCUAAAGUCAUUGAAAAGUGACAGAAAUUAAUCAAUUGCUCAUACAGGAGUCCCAGUGUGAUUCAGGCCAGAGUAAUACAAAUAUUAUCCUGCUUAAAAAGUUUUGGUGUCUGCUAAUCCUCACGAAGAAAGAAAUCAGAAGUUAUUUAGGUGAAUCACUGAAAUUAUCCACUCUCUACUGCUGUGUAGCGUACUAUAUAGCAGUCAGUAAUGCUGACUCAUAAAACAACAAACUAUCAGA